rnacentral:tRNA from 1 species
GGAGAGAUGUCCGAGUGGUCGAAGGAGCACGCCUGGAAAGCGUGUAUAGGGGUAACUUUAUCGAGGGUUCGAAUCCCUCUCUCUCCG